rnacentral:rRNA from 1 species
AAUGAACGCUGGCGGCGUGCCUAACACAUGCAAGUCGGGUGUGCCGCAAGGUGCAUGGCAGACGGGUGAGUAACGCGUGGGGAACCUACCUCUUCGUGGGGAAUAACGAUCCGAAAGGAUUGGUAAUACCGCAUGAGACCGACGGCUGGGAUGCUGUCGGUGAAAGCUGGGGACCGGAAACGGCCUGGCGCGAGGAGAGGGUCCUGCGUCUGAUUAGCUAGUUGGUGGGGUAACGGCCUACCAAGGCAUCGAUCAGUAGCCGGCCUGAGAGGGUGAUCGGCCACACUGGAACUGAGACACGGUCCAGACUCCUACGGGAGGCAGCAGUGGGGAAUUUUGCGCAAUGGACGAAAGUCUGACGCAGCAACGCCGCGCGGGUGAUGAAGGUCUUCGGAUUGUAAAACCCUGUCGUCGGGGACGAAGGUAGGAGGGUUAAUAGCCCUUUUGCUUGACGGUACCCGGAGAGGAAGCCCCGGCUAACUCUGUGCCAGCAGCCGCGGUAAU